AACGAACGCUGGCGGCAUGCCUAACACAUGCAAGUCGAACGAGACCUUCGGGUCUAGUGGCGCACGGGUGCGUAACGCGUGGGAAUCUGCCCUUGGGUUCGGAAUAACAGUUGGGAACGACUGCUAAUACCGGAUGAUGACGUAAGUCCAAAGAUUUAUCGCCCAAGGAUGAGCCCGCGUAGGAUUAGCUAGUUGGUGAGGUAAAGGCUCACCAAGGCGACGAUCCUUAGCUGGUCUGAGAGGAUGAUCAGCCACACUGGGACUGAGACACGGCCCAGACUCCUACGGGAGGCAGCAGUGGGGAAUAUUGGACAAUGGGCGAAAGCCUGAUCCAGCAAUGCCGCGUGAGUGAUGAAGGCCUUAGGGUUGUAAAGCUCUUUUACCCGGGAUGAUAAUGACAGUACCGGGAGAAUAAGCUCCGGCUAACUCCGUG
rnacentral:rRNA from 1 species